rnacentral:rRNA from 1 species
GAUGAACGCUGGCGGCGUGCCUAAUACAUGCAAGUCGAGCGAACAGACGAGGAGCUUGCUCCUCUGACGUUAGCGGCGGACGGGUGAGUAACACGUGGAUAACCUACCUAUAAGACUGGGAUAACUUCGGGAAACCGGAGCUAAUACCGGAUAAUAUAUUGAACCGCAUGGUUCAAUAGUGAAAGACGGUUUUGCUGUCACUUAUAGAUGGAUCCGCGCCGCAUUAGCUAGUUGGUAAGGUAACGGCUUACCAAGGCAACGAUGCGUAGCCGACCUGAGAGGGUGUUCAGCCACACUGGAACUGAGACACGGUCCAGACUCCUACGGGAGGCAGCAGUAGGGAAUCUUCCGCAAUGGGCGAAAGCCUGACGGAGCAACGCCGCGUGAGUGAUGAAGGUCUUCGGAUCGUAAAGCUCUGUUAUUAGGGAAGAACAAAUGUGUAAGUAACUAUGCACGUCUUGACGGUACCUAAACAGAAAGCCACGGCUAACUACGUG